rnacentral:rRNA from 1 species
AUUGAACGCUGGCGGCAGGCUUAACACAUGCAAGUCGAGCGAGUGGCGGACGGGUGAGUAAUGUAUCGGGAUCUGCCCGAUAGCGGGGGAUACCUACUGGAAACGGUGGCUAAUCCCGCAUACUCUCGGAUGACCCCAUAUGGGAUUAGCUAGUGGGUGGGGUAAAGGCUCAACAAGGCGACGAUCUCUAGCUGUUCUGAGAGGACGAGUAGACACACUGUGACUGAGACACGGCCCAGACUCCUACGGGAGGCAGCAGUGGUGAAUAGUGCACAAUGGGCGCAAGCCUGAUGCAGCCAUGCCGCGUGUAUGACGAAGGCCUUAGGGUUGUAAAGUACUUUCAGCGGGGAAGCGUUACCCGCAGAAGAAGCACCGGCUAACUCCGUGCCAGCAGCCGCGGUAAUAC